CCCAAGUUCCACUCCCCGUCCCGCCAGUCUUCAAUUUAAGGCUGCCGAGAAGCUCCGGUCUUGUUGCAGGAGGAUAAGGAGACAUAAUGAGGCCUGAGAUAUGUCUCUGAGGAGCUCUCCAAGACCUAAGUAUGAAGGGAACCAAGAAAAGUUAAGAAGGAAUGAAUGCCUGACAUGUGUAGUCCCAGCACUCAGAGUCAGAAGCAGAUGGAUCUCUGAGUUUGAGGCCAGCCUGGACUAAAUGGAGAAUGCCUGGAAGAGUAUUUUGAUCCAUAGUUGAUUGAAUCAUUAGGCACAAGCUAUUUUGGAUGACUGCUCUCCAGAGAUCCAUGUAUUAAAAGUGGGAAGUAGUAAAGACCUUGAGAAGUAUGACAUCGUUGGCGGAUGUGAGGUGAAUGUUUUCCUCUGUCAUGUUCACCUGCCAGAGGCCCAAACUCACAGAGCUACCUGACCGUGGUCUGCAGCCUUCCAGGACUGUGAGCCAAAGAGGCGUGCCAGAGAACUGCUGGCAUCCUGGCUGGUCCUGGUUACUGGAGCUAACUAGUGCAGAUUCAGCGGAGGCCUGGCUGUUUCUGCUGGAUCACGCAGCUACUGCUGCUGAUUUGUGUUUGCUGUCUUGACACUACUGACCAGGAUUGCCGGUAUCCUGAUGACAGAGAUUGGGAUCGAUUCAAGGAACUACUUCUAAACAGGUCCCCAUCCCUUGUCCUAUUUCCCAUCUUUUCUCCCCUCCCUUUAGAUGGUGGGCUAGAAGGAGGUUUGAAGAAGUUGAGAACCCUUCUUAAAAGUAGGUUUAAAAAAAAUCUAAGCCUACAGAGUAUACCUCAUUAAAAUUUGGAAUCAAGAUAUUGGGUGGGUCACUAGAGGCCAGGGUUUUGAAAUCAUUCCAGGCAGCAUAGUGAGAUCCUGCAAUCAGAAAACAAAUAAAGCAAAAAUGACUGUAACCUUGCACUUAAUAUACAUGGACCUGUUUAAAAGCCAUCUUUGAGCAAAGGGGAUAGCCCAGGGAUAGAGUUCUUGCCUAUCACACUUGAGCCCUGGAUCCAGUCUCUAACAUCAUGAAAAUUAAAACAUACAACAAAAGCCAUCUUCUAUAUUCCCCUUAUCUUCAAGGAAAAGAAUAAUAGCUAACGAAACAAACUCUCAUAAAAAAAAAAAUUCUCCUUAUCCAAACCACUUCUCUAACAGACUGUGAACACACUUUUUUGUAGUUGUUGAUGAUGAUGAUGGUGUCUGGUGACAAUGGGAUGUUUUUGUUGUUGUUUGA